rnacentral:rRNA from 1 species
AAAACUUUCAACAACGGAUCUCUUGGUUCCGGCAUCGAUGAAGAACGCAGCGAACUGCGAUAAGUAGUGUGAAUUGCAGAAUUCAGUGAAUCAUCGAGUCUUUGAACGCACAUUGCGCCCCCUGGCAUUCCGGGGGGCAUGCCUGUCCGAGCGUCAUU